CCUGUCGAUAACACGCGCGACAGGUAUUGCGGUCCUUGUACCUUAGCGAGUUGGCAUGUCACAUUGAGGAGGUGCUCGGCAACUAUUACAUAAUGAGCCGAACGGAUUCCUGAAUGUAGGAAAUGAAAGGUGCCGUCGUCACGCGGCCGAGGUUUGCUGUGCGCUCCCCAAGUGAAACUUGAGCAAAAUCUGUCAGGGUGAGCGAUCCGGGCGGCGUCCGCUGUUGACAUGUGAUCCCUCAUUUGUGACAAAAAAGAUCUGCUCACGUCUCCUUGUCCCCCGAGUAACGCAUCUGUCAACCGAUGCGCCCGGAUGGAUGGAUGGAUCACAGCAGUCCGCCUUGAGGACAACUCUGAUCACAGACUUGAAUUCUUCUCCCGCUGGGACUCGGGGCUCUAUGUUGACUGAGUCCUCCAGGAAAUGUCUCAAAAGCCAACUGAUUUUUUCUAGUGGGUCGCCACUUGAC